GGGACGCGCGCGAUCGCGGGGUCACGGCCGGGCCCGGACCCCUCCCCUCCCCCACCCCGCUCGGGCCUCCCGCGGGCACCGCGGAAGUGCUGCCCCGGUUGCGCGCGCUCCGCCGCCGGCCGCGUGCUCGCACUGCGUCCCGCAGGGCUGGGGGCCAUCCGGAUCUGCCUGUCUCCCUCCUCUGGGAAAGACGAGGCUUGGCUUCCAAGCGCCGGGGCUAUCCUGCGGCUUUGUUGCUCUGUAGGAGUUCGCGGGAGACCUUUGACGGGUAGCAAAACUGUGCUUGGUGUAGCGAACGGAUCGCGGCUGGGAAGCAUCUUUUUGGGGUGAGGGUCUGAGUGUGUCUCCCUGCGCUUGCCCUCCCCACCGUGCCCCGCUAGGAGGAGCUGGGUUGCGAGCGAGCGCGCCGAAGAGUCCCGGAAUCCUGGCGCUCUGCGGGAGCGAAGGGGCGGAGUGCGUGGUGGGAGGUGGGCACAGCCCCAAGCCCGGGUCCUUUGGCGCCUGGCGGCCUUGGCCGCGCGGCGACAGCCCUGUCAUUAUUGUGUUAUUAUUUGUUGGGUGAAAGAGCCCUCCUGGCCGUCUAGGGUGUAAACAAGGUCUGGCGAGGUGACAGCCCAGGAGACGAGCACUUCUCAGUUUGAAGACAGUUUUCUUGCCAGUCUCCCUCCCUGAGGGCUUCGGGCAUCCUGGAGUCUCCGGGUGGAGAUGCACGUGUAGGGGGCUCCAUUCCCCGGGCCGCAGGGAGGACUGGCCAAGCGCUCCAAGCUGCGGCUUUGUUUUGACAGGGUGACAGCGAAAGGGGGCGGGGACUUGGUCUUGUCAGCCUUGGCCGCUCUUAGCUGGGUCCAGGAAGAGGCGCGCUCACUCACACACCUCCCGUGCCGCAACUCCCGUCUGCUGCAAAAGGGGUCAAGUUCCCGGCUUCCGCUUCUCACCCCACCCCCCACAGCGAGGGUGGAUUAGCCUAGCGGAUGACAUUCCUCCUGGGGAAUGCUGGUCGCAGUGUCUGCUGGAGGGCCUCGGAUGGUCUCCUGCGGGCCCUUUCUAUGCGGCCACCUCCUGUUUAGGUCUUGCAGUGGCUCUGCCUUCCCGAGGAGGCUGUAGCGCGGGCCUUUAUGCACAGUGGUGUGCGCUGGGAUUGCUGAAUGAGCUGGUGGAAACGCUGGUGCUGACUCAGGUCUGGGGUGGGCGUUUGAGGACCUGCAUUUCUAACAAAGCCCCGGGAGAUGCGAGUGGUAAUUGAGAAUACUUUCCACGAAGCAAGUAUAUUACUACUUUUGAAUUCUGUACAGGAACUUUGCAAUACUAACGUCACAUCGUAUAUCCUACGAAGGAGUAUUCGUCUAAGACACAGGAAAGGUCUGGAGUUCUGCUCCAGUAGCUACAGAGUAACGAAUGCAGGACCUCUGGUGUAGCACGAAGGCACAAAACAGAGAGUGGCAGACGGAACUCAGAGCAAGCUCAAGGACUCAAUAUAAUAGGCUUGACUUUUGCAGUGGCUCUGGGCUCUUUCAGAAACCCAGUCAGUUAUCAAUUCUGCCUGGGAUUCAGUAUGUUUCCUGAGUCCCCAUCACCCUUCAUACAGCCUGCUGUUGUGUAGUGUCUGAAACUUUCCUGAUAUUGCAGGCAUGCCGUUUUUUCUCCCAUGUCUCCCCAUGAAGCCCAGGAUGGCCUUGAACUCCUCCUAUCUGUUUAAGAUUACAGCCCUACCACCAUGCUCCUCCACUGACCUUGACGUUUUCCUGAGUAUUGGAACAUAACUUCAAGUGUAUAACUUUAGUAGUUCUUAAAGGAAAACCUGUUAUUUAAGCCCCUUCUUCCUGCUUCUGAGAAGCUUGGAAAGUGUGGGAGUUUAGUGUGUGUGUGUGGUCAGUUCUCCCUCCUUCCACGUGGGUUCUGGAACUUGAAGUCAGCUUGUCAAGAGUUUGAGAUGAACAGUUUACCUCCUGAGUAUCGUCACCAGCCUGGAAUUUGUCUUUGUACUUAAUUCGAGCAAGCCACAAAAACUCGACCUUUGCCAGUGGCUCCUGGCUCAAUAGGAGAGCAAGGAAGCUGGAAAAGUUGAGUCUGCGAAGACAUAGUUUCCUGGGGGCCACCGGAAGAAGAGCAGGCCCUGAGACCCAGACAAGAUCUGGACCAGGAAAAGGGAAAAGCCUGUAUGACAAACUUGUUUUACAGGCUCCAGCCUAGAGUUCGUUGAACUGUGUGUGCCUGGUAAAGGUUGCAUCAGAGCCGCUUGGCUUGUGUGACACAGCCAGAGGGAUGGGGAAUAUAUAGUUUAGACCUUGCCGGCUUCUGGUCCUUAGGUACCCCUUUCCUGAGUCUGUAUUCUGUGUCUGGCCUGGUUGAUGUCUCUGGGUGGUAUUUAACAGUUCUCCUUCUAGCUCAGGUCUUUGAAUGGUUCCUUUGGGAUCUGAAAACAAUUCUUCCCUCUUGGAAAUUAAUCAGUGUUGAUCUCACAUGCAAACAGAGACUCUUAACAACAACAACAACAACAACAACAAAACCCCAAAUACCCAAGUGCUCCCCUCCCCCAUUUAACCUCAGAUACCUUGUCUUUUAUUUGUUCUUAGCCAACAUUUUUGUUAGGAAUCAUCCAAAUUCUCCCUUCCUGCAGAUUUGAUUGUGAUAUGAUUUACUUAGUUAUUGCGAUAGAGGCUCUCUUUGUAGUCCUGGCUACCCUUGAACUCCAUUUGUAGACCACGUUGACCUUGAACUCAUAAAGAUCUUUUUGACUCUGCCUCCUGAAUAUUGGAAUUAAAGGUAUGUGCCACCUU